rfam:Mus musculus chromosome 4, GRC primary reference assembly.
UCCCUGGUAGUCUAGUGGUUAGGAUUCGGUGCUCGCACCGCCGUGGCCCAGGUUUGAAUCCUAGUCAGGGAA